AUGGCCAGAGCGAGUCAAUGUGUAGGAUGUUUUCUUAUGACCUUAAUCAUAGCCACCUAGGCCUAAUAUCUGAUGCUCAUUUUGAUAGAUUUUAAAGUAUUUUUGCAAGUUGGCGGAUCACUUAAAGCCUCCUUCACCUCCGCCGCGGGUCGACCCGGCAUUGCACUAUCUUCGGGAUCGGCCCACGUGUG